UACCUGCAGCUCAAGUGGUGGCCACUAUUAUUGGGCCUAAAACGUUCGUAGCCUGUUUAGUAAAUGCCUGGGUAAAUUGUGUAGCUUAACUAUACGAAUUCCGGGUAGACUGCUAGACUUGAGACCGGGAGAAGCUAGAGGUACUCCUAGGGUAGAGGUGAAAUUCUGUAAUCCUAGGGGGACCACCAGUGGCGAAGGCGUCUAGCUAGAACGGGUCUGACGGUGAGGAACGAAGCCCUGGGGCGCAAACCGGAUUAGAUACCCCCGUA
rnacentral:rRNA from 1 species